GAUGAACGCUAGCUACAGGCUUAACACAUGCAAGUCGAGGGACCGGCGCACGGGUGAGUAACACGUAUCCAACCUGCCCUUUACUCGGGGAUAGCCGUUCGCAAGAAAGAUUAAUACCCGAUAUAAUGGAUGGGGAUGCGUUCGGUUAGGUUGUUGGUGAGGUACCGGCGAACCAAGCCUUCGAUGGAUAGGGGUUCUGAGAGGAAGGUCCCCCACAAUGGAACGGAGACACGGUCCAAACUCGGACGGGAGGCAGCAGUGAGGAAUAUUGGGAAAUGGGCGCUAGCCUGAACCAGCCAAGUAGCGUGAAGGAGGAAGGCUUAUGAGUCGUAAACUUCUUGUAUAUAAGAAGAUGUAUUAGAUGAAUAAGGAUCGGCUAACUCCGUGCCAGCAGCCGCGGUAAUUC
rnacentral:rRNA from 1 species